GGCCACAUCACAUUGAAACACAGGUUCCCAUAUGAUCACCAAAGUUAAGCAACACCAAGCUUGGUCAAUAUCUAGAUGGGUGACCACUUGGGAAUACCAGGUGCU